CCUACGGGAGGCAGCAGUAAGGAAUAUUGGACAAUGCUCGCAAGAGUGAUCCAGCCAUGCCGCGUGCAGGAAGAAUGCCCUAUGGGUAGUAAACUGCUUUUGAACUAGAGAAAACCCCAGUACGUGUACUGGGCUGAUAGUAUAGUUAGAAUAAGCAUCGGCUAACUUCGUGCCAGCAGCCGCGGUAAGACGAAGGAUGCAAGCGUUAUCCGGAUUCAUUGGGUUUAAAGGGAGCGUAGGUGGACUGAUAAGUCAGUGGUGAAAUCUCCGAGCUUAACUCGGAAAUUGCCAUUGAUACUGUUGGUCUUGAGUACAGUUGCUGUGGGCGGAAUAUGACAUGUAGUGGUGAAAUACAUAGAGAUGUCAUAGAACACCGAUUGCGAAGGCAGCUCGCAAAGCUGUAACUGACACUGAGGCUCGAAAGUGCGAGGAUCAAACAGGAUUAGAUACCCUGGUAGUCCGCACCGUAAACGAUGAUUACUCGCUGCUAGGGGGCAACCGUUUAGUGGCUUAGNGAAGAAGAGUAGUUAUUCUCGUUGGNGUAGCGCGACGNGAGAGAGAGUUAGAGNGNGAGAGNGCGAGGACGACGACGAGGAGGAGG
rnacentral:rRNA from 1 species